AGUCUGGUGAGCUAUAAGCAUGCCCCAAGUUUAGAAAAACUUUUAAAGACAGAAGUAUCCCACACCAUUGCCAGUACAGAGAACUCCUCCUCCUUGGAUCAGCUUCUCAAGGAUAAUCAGGGCUCUCUUACAACGUCUCCUUCCAGCAGGCAGUGGGGCUUCAGUCGGGGGGACACUGGCAGGCGGACUGUCUGAGAGCCCUGCUUAAUCUGGGAAAAGGGAAUUUUAGCAUCUUCCAGGGUCAGUGGGAAGACCAUGGCUCCAUCCAGGACCUGUCAGGAGUCUUUGUUGGUUCUUUUGUUGCAGAUCUUGCUGAUUUGCUCGGCUCAGAGGGGCCCGGUUGGACCCAGAGGCCCCCCGGGACCUCCCGGCCCAGGCGGCGUGCCA